rnacentral:rRNA from 1 species
GACAGAGGGUGCAAACGUUGUUCGGAAUUACUGGGCGUAAAGCGCGUGUAGGCGGCCAUGCAAGUCGGAUGUGAAAUCCCACGGCUCAACCGUGGAAGUGCACCCGAAACUGCGUGGCUGGAGUCCUGGAGAGGAAGGCGGAAUACUCGGUGUAGAGGUGAAAUUCGUAGAUAUCGAGUGGAACACCGGUGGCGAAGGCGGCCUUCUGGACAGUGACUGACGCUGAGACGCGAAAGCGUGGGGAGCAAACAGG